GACGAACGCUGGCGGCGUGCUUAACACAUGCAAGUCGAACGGGCCCGCUCUCUUUUUUGGGGGUGGGUUGAGUGGCGAACGGGUGAGUAUCACGUGAGUAACCUGCCCCCUGCUCCUGGAUAACUGCUUGAAAGGGCGGCUAAUACGGGGUGUGCCGGCUGGUCCGCAUGGGCCUGGUCGGGAUAGUUUCAUCUUCGGGUGUUUCGGUGGGGGAUGGGCUCGCGGCCUAUCAGCUUGUUGGUGGGGUGAUGGCCCACCAAGGCGGUGACGGGUAGCCGGCCUGAGAGGGUGGGCGGCCACACUGGGACUGAGACACGGCCCAGACUCCUGCGGGAGGCAGCAGUGGGGGGUAUUGCACAAGGGGCGGAAGCCUGAUGCAGCGACGUCGCGUGAGGGAUGGAGGCCUUCGGGUUGUGAACCUCUUUCUCCGGUGGUGAAGGCCCUGUCCGUUGCGGCGGGGUUGACGGUAGCCGGGUAUGAAGCGCCGGCUAACUACGUG
rnacentral:rRNA from 1 species